UACAGAGACUGCAAGCGUUAUUCGGAUUCACUGGGCGUAAAGGGUGCGCAGGCGGCCAAGUGUGUCAGGUGUGAAAUCCCGAGGCUUAACCUCGGAACUGCGCCUGAAACUACUUGGCUAGAGUACUGGAGAGGGUAACGGAAUUCACGGUGUAGCAGUGAAAUGCGUAGAUAUCGUGAGGAACACCAGAGGCGAAGGCGGUUACCUGGAAGAUUCCUGACUCUGAAACACGAAAGCCAGGGGAGCAAACGGG
rnacentral:rRNA from 1 species